GAGCGAGUCGUUCAGUUGAGCAGUCUGAACUCUACGUUGUGUUCUGUGUUCAUGGACGUUCUUCUAAAGAACCAACCAGAAGGAGUUCAGCUCUCCGUGACGGAGGGAGAAAAUUCUUGAAAUGUCUUGUUGUGUCUGACCAGCAGAGUAAAAGUGGAAGAUCUCCUGCUAGUUAAUACAAC